rnacentral:rRNA from 1 species
GACAGAGGGUGCAAGCGUUGUUCGGAAUUACUGGGCGUAAAGCGCGUGUAGGCGGCUUUGCAAGUCGGGUGUGAAAUCCCACGGCUCAACCGUGGAAGUGCACUCGAAACUGCAAGGCUAGAGUCCUGGAGAGGAAGGUGGAAUGCUUGGUGUAGAGGUGAAAUUCGUAGAUAUCAAGCGGAACACCAGUGGCGAAGGCGGCUCACUGGACUGGUAUUGACGCUGAGGUGCGAAAGCGUGGGGAGCAAACAGG